CCUACGGGGGGCAGCAGUGAGGAAUAUUGGUCAAUGGGAGAGAUCCUGAACCAGCCAAGCCGCGUGAGGGAAGACGGCCCUAUGGGUUGUAAACCUCUUUUGUCGGAGAACAAAACCCGGGACGUGUCCCGGACUGCGUGUAUCCGACGAAAAAGCAUCGGCUAACUCCGUGCCAGCAGCCGCGGUAAUACGGAGGAUGCGAGCGUUAUCCGGAUUUAUUGGGUUUAAAGGGUGCGUAGGCGGUCCGUUAAGUCAGCGGGAAAAUUGCGGGGCUCAACCCCGUCGAGCCGUUGAUACUGGCAGACUUGAGUUGGCGAGAAGUACGCGGAAUGUGCGGUGUAGCGGUGAAAUGCAUAGAUAUCGCGCAGAACUCCGAUUGCGAAGGCAGCGUACCGGCGCCAUACUGACGCUGAGGCACGAAAGCGUGGGGAUCGAACAGGAUUAGAUACCCGGGUAGUC
rnacentral:rRNA from 1 species